UACGGGGGGGGCAAGCGUUGUUCGGAAUUACUGGGCGUAAAGGGCUCGUAGGUGGCCAACUAAGUCAGACGUGAAAUCCCCAGGCUCAACUUGGGAACUGCGUCUGAUACUGGAUGGCUUGAAUUCGGGAGAGGGAUGCAGAAUUCCAGGUGUAGCGGUGAAAUGCGUAGAUAUCUGGAGGAACACCGGUGGCGAAGGCGGCAUCCUGGACCGGCAUUGACGCUGAGGCGCGAAAGCCAGGGGAGCAAACGGG
rnacentral:rRNA from 1 species